AAAUUGAAGAGUUUGAUCAUGGCUCAGAUUGAACGCUGGCGGCAGGCCUAACACAUGCAAGUCGAACGGUAACAGGAAGCAGCUUGCUGCUUCGCUGACGAGUGGCGGACGGGUGAGUAAUGUCUGGGAAACUGCCUGAUGGAGGGGGAUAACUACUGGAAACGGUAGCUAAUACCGCAUAACGUCGCAAGACCAAAGG
rnacentral:rRNA from 3 species